CCUACGGGUGGCAGCAGUGGGGAAUAUUGGACAAUGGGGGCAACCCUGAUCCAGCCAUGCCGCGUGUGUGAAGAAGGCCCUCGGGUUGUAAAGCACUUUCAGUGAGGAAGAACGCCUGGUGGUUAAUACCCAUCAGGAAAGACAUCACUCACAGAAGAAGCACCGGCUAACUCCGUGCCAGCAGCCGCGGUAAUACGGAGGGGGCGAGCGUUAAUCGGAAUUACUGGGCGUAAAGCGCGCGUAGGUGGCUUGAUAAGCCGGUUGUGAAAGCCCCGGGCUCAACCUGGGAACGGCAUCCGGAACUGUCAAGCUAGAGUGCAGGAGAGGAAGGUAGAAUUCCCGGUGUAGCGGUGAAAUGCGUAGAGAUCGGGAGGAAUACCAGUGGCGAAGGCGGCCUUCUGGACUGACACUGACACUGAGGUGCGAAAGCGUGGGUAGCAAACAGGAUUAGAUACCCUAGUAGUC
rnacentral:rRNA from 1 species